rnacentral:rRNA from 1 species
GACGAACGCUGGCGGCGUGCUUAACACAUGCAAGUCGAACGGUAAGGCCCUUCGGGGUACACGAGUGGCGAACGGGUGAGUAACACGUGGGUGAUCUGCCCUGCACUUCGGGAUAAGCCUGGGAAACUGGGGCUAAUACCGGAUAGGACCACUGCCUGCAUGGGUGGUGGUGGAAAGCUUUUGCGGUGUGGGAUGGGCCCGCGGCCUAUCAGCUUGUUGGUGGGGUGAUGGCCUACCAAGGCGACGACGGGUAGCCGGCCUGGGAGGGUGACCGGCCACACUGGGACUGAGAUACGGCCCAGACUCCUACGGGAGGCAGCAGUGGGGAAUAUUGCACAAUGGGCGCAAGCCUGAUGCAGCGAUGCCGCGUGAGGGAUGACGGCCUUCGGGUUGUAAACCUCUUUCAGCACCGACGAAGCGCAAGUGACGGUAGGUGCAGAAGAAGGACCGGCCAACUACGUGCCAGCCGCCGCAGUAA